rnacentral:pre_miRNA from 1 species
CUUAUACUCCCUCCGUUCGGAAUUACUUGUCUCAGAAAUGGAUGUAUCUAGAACUAAAAUACGUCUAGAUACAUCCAUUUCUGUGACAAGUAAUUCCAAACAGAGGGAGUAUUUU